CCACAAUGGGACUGAGACACGGCCCAUACUCCUACGGGAGGCAGCAGUAGGGAAUCUUCCACAAUGGACGAAAGUCUGAUGGAGCAACGCCGCGUGAGUGAAGAAGGGUUUCGGCUCGUAAAGCUCUGUUGGUAGUGAAGAAAGAUAGAGGUAGUAACUGGCCUUUAUUUGACGGUAAUUACUUAGAAAGUCACGGCUAACUACGUGCCGG
rnacentral:rRNA from 1 species